rnacentral:lncRNA from 1 species
ACACACUAAAACUCCCACAAAAGGGGGAAAAUUAGAAAAGGGGUGAUAUAAUUUGACUCUGUGUCCCCACCCAAAUCUCAUCUUGAAUUGUAGUCCCCAUAAUUUCUCACCUGGUAAAAGUGGGAACAGGUGGAGACAAUUGGAUCAUGGGGGCAGUUUUCCCCAUGCUCUUCUCGUGAUAAUGAUUGAGUCUCAUGGGAUCUGAUGAUUUUAUAAGUGUCUGGCUUUUCCCCUGCUUGCACUCACUCCAUCCUGCCACCCUGUGAAGAAGGUGCCUGCUUCUUCUUUGCCUUCCACCAUGAGUGCAAGUCUCCUGAGGCCUCCCCAGCAAUAUAGAACCGGAUACGUCAUGGAACAGAGGGCAACCUGCCUCCUGGAAAUGUGGAGUGUCUAGGGAGUCACAGCUGAGAUCUUCCUUGGAUUAAAGGCUGCAGAUGCCACAAACAGGUAGGAA